rnacentral:rRNA from 1 species
GAGUUUGAUCCUGGCUCAGGAUGAACGCUAGCUACAGGCUUAACACAUGCAAGUCGAGGGGCAGCAUUUUAGUUUGCUUGCAAACUAAAGAUGGCGACCGGCGCACGGGUGAGUAACACGUAUCCAACCUGCCGAUAACUCGGGGAUAGCCUUUCGAAAGAAAGAUUAAUAUCCGAUAGUAUAUUAAAACCGCAUGGUUUUACUAUUAAAGAAUUUCGGUUAUCGAUGGGGAUGCGUUCCAUUAGUUUGUUGGCGGGGUAACGCCCACCAAGACUACGAUGGAUAGGGGUUCUGAGAGGAAGGUCCCCCACAUUGGAACUGAGACACGGUCCAAACUCCACGGGAGGCAGCAGUGGGGAAUAUUGCACAAUGGGCGAAAGCCUGAUGCAGCGACGCCGCGUGAGCGAAG